UGGCGAACGGGUGAGUAACACGUGGGUGAUCUGCCCUGCACUCUGGGAUAAGCCUGGGAAACUGGGUCUAAUACCGGAUAGGACCAUGCUUUAGUGUGUGUGGUGGAAAGUUUUUUCGGUGUAGGAUGAGCCCGCGGCCUAUCAGCUUGUUGGUGGGGUAAUGGCCUACCAAGGCGGCGACGGGUAGCCGGACUGAGAGGUUGUCGGCACAUUGGGACUGAGAUACGGCCCAG
rnacentral:rRNA from 1 species